rnacentral:rRNA from 1 species
UAGCCGCGGUAAUACCAGCCCCGCGAGUGGUUGGGACGGUUAUUGGGCCUAAAGCGCCCGUAGCCGGCCCGGUAAGUCCUCCCUUAAAACUCGGGGCUCAACCCGAGACGGGGGGAUACUGCCGGGCUAGAGGGCGGGAGAGGCCGAGGGUACUCCCGGGGUAGGGGCGAAAUCCAAUAAUCCCGGGAGGACCACCAGUGGCGAAGGC